rnacentral:lncRNA from 1 species
GGGUGAGCAACACAUGCUGUAUAUUUCCAUCCAAAUAAAAGACAUUCAUUUUGAAGACCCUGGAACAGCUGUAACUUGAGAUUCCCACAAAUGCUUGGAAAACUGUCAGUCCUUUCUGAGUGGCAGUAGAUAUAGAAGCAAGAAUGCCAAAUAAUGUAGACAGCUGAAGAGGUUCAUCUCCAAGAGAGAAUACAUAACCAUCAUGAGGGGUUGCCAGUACAGGAUCCUGUGAUUGUGAACCUCUCUAGAGUCCCAGAAAUGAGGAAAAGGCAGAUCCAAGAUGAAACAAUGGAGCAAGGAGUAAAAAGCAAACCAACGGCCACUGUUUGGCAAGUAUGAGUUUCUGAGUUAGGUGCUAUGUAGUGCUUUCUUUGCCAUGGUGAAGUGAAUCCAUGUCCGAGAAUGGGCUAAAGGGCUAACAUUUCUUAUUAAUUGCAGGCACUGUGCUGAGUACAUUGAAUGCAUCAUAUCCUUAGCUGUUACUGGAUUCAGCCCUUUUAGGAGACAGACAUCACCCAACAAGGUGAACUAGACCUCGUGUGAAAGGAAAGUCCUUACUUCCUAAGCAUUCACAGCUCCCAUUUCACACACUACUCUUGAUCUCUUUCUUCUGAUCUGCCUCAGUGAUAUUCCACCACUUACCACUCCAGUUUUGUUGUAACAACUGGCCAUCUCCCAAAAGCUUCCAACCUCCUCUCCCCUUCUGCCUGAUAGUUCCAAGUAUAGAACCCCACCCUCACCCUUGCUGACUUACUCUGUGGGUCAUUCACACUAAAUUUUCAAGGUGGCCCCGACAUCAUAUAUUUGUUGGUUCCAUAGAACUGGCAUUCUCUGAGGUAAAUAGUUAUCACAGUUUUAUAUCUAGGUUUCCAAGAAGUAAAGGACCUUUUCAAGAGACAUAUAUCUGGAUAUAAUUAACAUGAAUAUGGAGUUAAACCCAAAGCCUGAUUAUA